UAAGUGCUAAAGCAAACAAGAGAUUCUUCUCAAAAUAUGUUGGUGGCUUGAGAGAUGUCAUUACCAAGUGGUGAUCUAUACAGAAGAUGCUGAAAUGCCAAUUCUCAAGAAAUUUGAGGUUGUCAUUGGAUCUGAAGACAACGUCUUGGCCAGGGAACGAGCAGCAGGCUCUGCCGUGGACCUCACGUGGCCUGGAGGUUUGCUGAGAGCUGUGUUCUUGUGGCAGAGGCAUAAGCAUGAUGUCUCAGGAUGCCCUCUGACCUGGCGGGACCCUGCAAUGCCCACGUCUGGCCAGGACCUCGCCCGAGCUUCAGCUUGUAGGGGCUCAAUGUGGAAUCUUGGUUCCCAGGCCAGGGAUUGGAUGCCGGUGGUGAAAUUACAAAAAAGCCCAGCAGGGAGCUCCAGGUACGGUGUCACACAGGAGUCAGCAAUGUGUCAGGUACUAAGCCCCCAA